CAAUGCUCAAAUAUAUGCAUGUGGUUACAGUUACUGUGUUGAUUUCAAAACAUCAGCAUGGCAGGCUCUCUGUCACGAGAAAUACAAAAUAAUAAUAAAAAUAGUUGGUUACUUCUCUCCGAUUUCACAUGGACAGUUGGAUUAUGGGCUACAUGUGUAGUUUCAAUUCUAACUUUAUUUUGAUUGACUCCAUGGUUAGUUGUUCACACACUGUUGGAUGCUCAGUUCAGUUAAAACAAUAAUGUUGUAUGAGUAUAAGUAAUAAUACUAAUGUGCUUUCACUCAUGCUACGUCCCCAGUAACAACUCUCUAAGACGGUUGUGCUCAAAUUUAUAGUUCCUGGUUAAUGUUUUUUAUCUUUUUACUUUCUGCUGGUUUGUUUCUUUCAGUUUGUAAGUGGCCUUGGAAUCCUGUUCACUGUUGGAAACUGCUGGACCCUGCUGUUGUUGUUUGGUUCAUAAGGUACGCUCUUGAGCAAUCGAGCAAGCUGCUUAGCUUUUGAUAUAUUCCUUUUUGCCAAACUUGAUGUGUCGAGCUUUGAGCUACAAACUUGAUGGAAUGUGCUUGGCCAUGGAAGAGGGGGUGGCACUAUCUUUCCUCCUUCAGAUCAGGGUGUUCCUCCUGCUGUGAUUGAGUCUGGUGUUUUUCCUCGCUUGUGGAGCUUCUCUUGUACCCGUCGACUUCUGUUCUCAUUGCAGCUCUGCGCAUGGUGGGUAACAUUGCCACUGGUGAUGAUUUGCAGACUCGGGUUCGUGUGAGGCGGGUCCCUGUGAAGUAUAUCGACAAGGCAGAUGAAUUAGCCACUUGUUAGUAUGUUUAAUGAUUAUGUCUCCGUAGUUGGCUCUUCUUAUGUGUUCUCGCUUUUGUAUCGAACUUCUUAUGUGUUCUCCGUAGUUGGCGGGUCCCUGUGAAGUAUAUCGACAAGGCAGAUGAAUAAUUUUGAAUGGUCGUCUUUUA